rnacentral:rRNA from 1 species
AGAUGGCAAAGUAGGGGUUUGCCAUGGUGACAACGGGUGACGGGGAAUUAGGGUUCGAUUCCGGAGAGGGAGCCUGAGAAACGGCUACCACUUCCAAGGAAGGCAGCAGGCGCGCAAAUUACCCAAUGCUAAUUCGGCGAGGUAGUGACAAGAAAUACCAAUGUAGGACCCAACGGGUACUACGUUUGGAAUGAGUACAAUUUAAAAACCUUAACGAGGAACAAUUGGAGGGCAAGUCUGGUGCCAGCAGCCGCGGUAAUUCCAGCUCCAAUAGUGUAUAUUAAAGUUGCUGCGGUUAAAAAGCUCGUAGUUGGAUUACGAAGUGGUGUUUAAAUGUUAAUUUUGGUUGGUCAGUCCUUCGGGGCAUUCUGGCUGACUUUGGCACUUACUCACUGAUGUCAUUGUCUUUGCCCAAGGUAAUUGCCUUGUGUGCAUGGCAUUGACCUUCUAUUUUAUGGUAAUGAGGUCAUCUUUCGGGGUGACUCUUCAUUCCAUAUAGUUUACUUUGAAAAAAAUUAGGGUGUUUAAAGCAGGCGAAAAGGCUUCGGAAUAUAUUAGCAUGGGAUAAUAGAAUACGAUUUAGGUCGUAAUUUGUUGGUUUCUACGGCUUAGGUAAUGAUUGACAGGGAUAGUUGGGGUCGCUCGUAUUGAGUUGUCAGAGGUGAAAUUCUAGGAUUAACUCAAGACGAACUAAUGCGAAAGCAUCCGGCAAGGAUGUUUUCAUUAAUCAAGAACGAAAGUUGGGGGAUCGAAGAUGAUCAGAUACCGUCGUAGUCUCAACUGUAAACUAUGUCGACCGAGGAUCCGGUAGCGUUACAUGGAUGACCUUCCGGGCACUCUGUGAGAAAUCAUAAGUAUUUGGAUUUCGGGGGGAGUAUGGUCGCAAGGCUGAAACUUAAAGGGAUUGACGGAAGGGCACCACCAGGAGUGGAAUCUGCGGCUUAAUUUGACCCAACACGGGAAAACUUACCAGGUCCGGACACAGUGAGGAUUGACAGAUUGAGAGCUCUUUCUUGAUUUUGUGGGUGGUGGUGCAUGGCCGUUUUUAGUUGGUGGAGUGAUUUGUCUGGUUAAUUCCGUUAACGAACGAGACCUUAACCUAUUAAAUAGCUGCGCGAACCCAGGUUCUUUAACCAUUCUCUCCUUCGGGGGGGCGUGGUAUCAUCUCUUUGCUUUUCACCUUCGGGUGGGAGGUAGGGGGAUGAUAGGGCCUGAGAUGAGUUGGUGAUUUGGCUUCUUAGAGGGACUACUUGCAUCCUUAGCAAGGGGAGGUUUGAGGCAAAAACAGGUCUGUGAUGCCCUUCGAUGUUCUGGGCUGCACGCGCGUUACACUGGCGCAUGCAAAGAGUUUAAAAUUCCUGUCCUGAUGAGGUUGGGAAAUCUUUUUAAAGUGCGUCGUGAUGGGGAUAGAGCAUUGAAAUUAUUGCUCUUGAACGAGGAAUUCCUAGUAAUUGCAGGUCAUCAACCUGCAAUGAUUACGUCCCUGCCCUUUGUACACACCGCCCGUCGCUCCUACCGAUGGUUGAACCGAUGAGGACUCGGGAUGAUCUUAUUAGAUCGGUCGGUCGAAAGAUCGAUAGACUAUUAGGUCAGAACUUGUUCAAAUCUUUUUAACUAGAGGAAGGAGAAGUCGUAACAAGGUU